UGCAUAUCAAUAAGCGGAGGAAAAGAAACUAACAAGGAUUCCCCUAGUAACGGCGAGUGAAGAGGGAAGAGCCCAAGAUUGAAAGCUGGCGUCUUCGGCGUCCGCAUUGUAAUCUCAAGAAGUGUUUUCCGCUUCGGACCAUGCCUAAGUCCCUUGGAAAAGGGCAUCAUAGAGGGUGAUAAUCCCGUACAUGGCAUGGAGCGCCCGAGGCUUUGUGAUACGCUUUCUAAGAGUCGAGUUGUUUGGGAAUGCAGCUCAAAAUGGGUGGUAAAUGCCAUCUAAGGCUAAAUAUUGGGGAGAGACCGAUAGCGAACAAGUACAGUGAUGGAAAGAUGAAAAGAACUUUGAAAAGAGAGUUAAACAGUACGUGAAAUUGCCAAAAGGGAAGGGUAGGAGGUCAGAGAUGCGUCUUGGGAUUCAGCCUUGCUUUUUGCUGGGUGUUUUUCCCAAGUUGCAGGCCAACGUCGGUUUUGGGCACUGGAGAAGGGUGGAAGGAACGUGGCACCUCUCGGGGUGUGUUAUAGCCUUCUACUGGAUACAGCGACCGAGACCGAGGACAGCAGCGUACUCGCAAGAGCGGGCCUUCGGGCACCUUUACGCUUAGGGCGUUGGCAUAAUGGCCCUCUACCACCCGUCUUGAAACACGGACCA
rnacentral:rRNA from 1 species